GAGUAAAGAUUUCGGUCGCUUUGGGAGGAGCUCGCUUACUAUCAGCUUGUUGGUAGGGUAAUGGCCUACCAAGGCUAUGACGGUUAGGGGGUGUGAGAGCAUGACCCCCAGCAUUGGCACUGAAACACUGGCCAAACACCUACGGGUGGCUGCAGUCGAGAAUCUUCCACAAUGGGGGAAACCCUGAUGGAGCGAUGCUGCGUGCGGGAUGAAGGCCUUCGGGUUGUAAACCGCUUUUGUAGGGGACGAAAUUUUUGACGGUACCCUUUCGAAUAAGAGGUUGCUAACUCUGUGCCAGCAGCAGCGGUAAUACAGAGACCUCAAGCGUUAUCCGGAUUUACUGGGCGUAAAGCGUCUGUAGGGGGUUUAUUAAGUUCCAAGUAAAAUUUCAAGGCUCAACUUUGAAUUCGCUUGGAAAACUAAUAAACUGGAGUCUAGCAGAGGUGCAUGGAACUUGUGGUGUAGGAGUGAAAUCCGUUGAUAUCACAAGGAACACCAAAGGCGAAGGCAUUGCACUGGGCUAGCACUGACCCUGAGAGACGAAAGCGUGGGGAGCAAAACGGAUUAGAUACCCGUGUAGUCCACGCCCUAAACGAUGAAUGCUAAAUGUUCGGGGAUUCGACCCCCUGGGUGUUACAGCUAACGCGUUAAGCAUUCCGCCUGGGAAGUACGGCCGCAAGGCUAAAACUCAAAGGAAUAGACGGGGAUCCGCACAAGCGGUGGAGCGUCUGGUUUAAUUCGACAGUAAGCGUGGUACCUCACCAGGGUUUGACAUCCCUUGACAGCCUUGGAAACAAGGUUUCCUUCGGGCAAGGUGACAGGUGCUGCAUGGUCGUCGUCAGUUCGUGCCGUGAGGUGUUCCGUUAAGUCGGGAAACGAACGAAACCCCUAUUGCAUGUUACAAUUUCUCAUGCAAGACUGCCCGGAUAUACUGGGAGGAAGGUGGGGAUGACGUCAGAUCUGCAUGGUCCUUAUACCCUGGGCGACACAGGCGCUACAAUGGCAGAGACAAAGGGUUGCAAAACCGCAAGGUGAAGCUAAUCCCAAAAACUUUGUCUAAGUUCGGAUUGAAGGCUGCAAUUCGCCUUCAUGAAGCUGGAAUCGCUAGUAAUCGUGAAUCAGCCACGUCACGGUGAAUAUGUUCCCGGAUCUUGUACUCACCGCCCGUCACACCAAGAGAGUUGGUAGCUCCCGA
rnacentral:rRNA from 1 species